GUGUAUCAGUAAUAUUACUCGUAAAAAUUUUACUUUAGUUCUGAUAAUUUUUAUUACCUUGACAGUAAACUGUCUAUAUUUCAACUUUACCACCUAUUUAAUUAUAAUUUUUUCUCUAAUAAAACUUGAACUGUGGUAUAAGAUGAAUUUCAAUUAUUAGAUUAAAAUUCUAAUUUUCUAAUUUUCUUUCAACUUUUCAUCCAGUAGUAUUGCUGAAAAUCUAACUUGUUGUUGUUCGCGAGCUUGCUUGUGUUCAGCCCAUUUAAAAAAAGAGCAAAUAUACGCCGGUUCCAACUCACUUAUGUUCGACUCAUUGACAACCCUAAAUUUAGGGAUUAAAAUAAAACC
rnacentral:lncRNA from 1 species